UGCAAAGCCUAUAAAACAACUAGUAGGUAAUUAUCAAAACCAUGAAGAGAGUUGUAUUUGGAGGGCUUUUGUUCAUAAUUAUAUUUUGUACAUCUCUUUCAUGCUAUGCUUUUCAAGGUUCUUCUUCUCCACAACACAACCCAUCAUUGAGGGCAAAACAUUUAAAGGAUCAAACUGAGAAAGUUGAUAUAAAGAGUUUCAUAAGACAUAAAAAGGGAUCGUACGGCGGUGGAGAUCUUCUUCGACCUCGUACUCCCCAUCGAAAUGGGGCUAUAAAAUUCUCUAUACUGAAAUCUUCUUACUUCCUCUCAAUACUACUUAGUUAUGUUCUUGUUUUAGUUAUUGUUAUAUUGGUCUAAAUGAUCAGGAAGGAGCUAGUAAUUAUUCAAUUUUCUAGCUCUUCUUCUUGAUAACCUCAUUAAAGAGUAAUAACUUAAUUCCCAUCUUUUAGUUCCACUAAUAGAAUUGUGUUUGCCAUUCAA